CCUGCCAGUAGUGUAUGCUUCUCCUAAAGACUAAGCCAUGCAUGCCUUAGAAUAAGGAGUGUAUUCUCUCUGAAUCUGCGAACGGCUCCGCAAAACAGUUGUAAACUAUAGCAAGCUAUCUGCAGGUUUUCUUUCGGGAAGGCUUGUGGGUAACAGGAUAACCCUGGUAAUUCUGAGGCUAAUACGUAUACAUAAAACUCAGUCAACCCGUAAGGGAAGGCUGGGGGGUGUGUGACCAUUAGUAAGGAGCCAGGAAUGGGUGCACGCUCAAACCAUCGUAAAAAACUCCAGAUCCUUCGAGGUGUAUUGGUUGGUGGGCCUUGCUGUGUGCAUCUGACCUAUCAACUAGAUGGCAGCGUAACGGACAUGCAAUGGUUACAACGGGUACAGAGGAUUAGGGUUCGAUCCUGGAGAGUGGGCCUGAGAGAUUGCUCAUACUUCUAAGGAAGGCAGCAGGCGCGCAACGUUCCCCUUGGGCAAUGCCCGAGGGCGUUAGGGGACAUAUGAAUGGUUGCCUUUUAGGUGGCCAAUUCAAAUGGGUCUGUUCUAAACAGUCUCUCGAGUAACA
rnacentral:rRNA from 1 species